CAGUAGCCGCGGGAAUACGGAGGGAGCUAGCGUUGUUCGGAAUUACUGGGCGUAAAGCGCGCGUAGGCGGUUACUCAAGUCAGAGGUGAAAGCCCGGGGCUCAACCCCGGAACUGCCUUUGAAACUAUGUGACUAGAAUCUUGGAGAGGUCAGUGGAAUUCCGAGUGUAGAGGUGAAAUUCGUAGAUAUUCGGAAGAACACCAGUGGCGAAGGCGACUGACUGGACAAGUAUUGACGCUGAGGUGCGAAAGCGUGGGGAGCAAACAGGAUUAGAUACCCGCGUAGUCCCUGUCUCUUAUAC
rnacentral:rRNA from 1 species